CCUCCUGUCAAUUGCCAUGUGUCCUAAAAGAAAGGAUGGCUAGCUCAGCCUUUCUCCAUUUUCACUUAACUGGGAAGCCAGAAUCAAGAUGGUGAUGGCAAGAAAUUGAGAUACAGAAUAUGAGCCAAAGAAAAACAGCUUAGCCUUGCAAAGGAGAGGUGUUACGGAGCAAGAACAGACCAUCGCUGACUCACUCUGCGCAACUGCCCUGGGAUUUGUAGGGAUCUCCCUCAUCCCACAAGCCUCUUCUCCAGCAUGCCGCGUCCUAAACAGUUCCACUCCCGUUUUCAGAUGACGCUCAUCUGCUAACUGCUGACGCUAAGCCUCUGGGCUCCUGAGGAAAGGAAGCAAUGACUCAGGCCAUGAGGAAAGAGUAAAUCUGAUGGGUUUACAUGGGAAUCGGAGUCAGAGACUUGACAUCCAACUCCGACCCAAUUCGUAACAGUCUUGCUGGGGCAGGGCUAAAUCACUUAGCCCCUUGCAAAAUAAAAAUAAUACCAGCAGAAGUAGCUGUCUAAGAUCGAUACCGGGAAGAAAAAUGAGUUACUAUUCACAAAACACGAUGAUGAUAAUGAUUUUGAUGAACAACACUAAGUAUUUUCACCAUCUGGAGGUACAAAACUAAGCAUCCCAAUCAUUCACGGUAUAAAGCUAUUAACCUU